rnacentral:rRNA from 1 species
AUUGAACGCUGGCGGCAGGCCUAACACAUGCAAGUCGAGCGGAUGACGGGAGCUUGCUCCUUGAUUCAGCGGCGGACGGGUGAGUAAUGCCUAGGAAUCUGCCUGGUAGUGGGGGACAACGUUUCGAAAGGAACGCUAAUACCGCAUACGUCCUACGGGAGAAAGCAGGGGACCUUCGGGCCUGGCGCUAUCAGAUGAGCCUAGGUCGGAUUAGCUAGUAGGUGAGGUAAUGGCUCACCUAGGCGACGAUCCGUAACUGGUCUGAGAGGAUGGUCAGUCACACUGGAACUGAGACACGGUCCAGACUCCUACGGGAGGCAGCAGUGGGGAAUAUUGGACAAUGGGCGAAAGCCUGAUCCAGCCAUGCCGCGUGUGUGAAGAAGGUCUUCGGAUUGUAAAGCACUUUAAGUUGGGAGGAAGGGCAGUAAGUUAAUACCUUGCUGUUUUGACGUUACCGACAGAAUAAGCACCGGCUAACUCUGUGCCAGCAGCCGCCGUAAAAC